GUCUCGAACUCCUGACCUCAGGUGAUCCACCUCAGCCUCCCAAAGUGCUGGGAAUCACUGUGCCUGGCCAAUUUUGCAUUCCUUAUGUAUACUUUUCCUCGACCAUCCUUGGGUAUCGGGCAUGACUACCAAAUGCCAAGGUAGCUGUGGGCUGGAGUUUUGGAGUGCACAGGCAGAAGAGUUAGUUCCCUAUGGGUAACUGUGGUUUUAAGACAUUUAAAAUAGUAACAGAAGUUACGUUAUUAAAAACCUAGGUGUGCUGUGGAAAAUAAGAAAGGGUAUGUAAAGGCUGCUGGGACCAGGGAACAGGAAGUUACUAUAUUGGUUUAGAUGAGGGUGAAAGUCUUUCUAACCUGUUGAGAAUGCAGAGGGAGAGGGAAGCCAGUCAGUCUCUUCCAUACCCCUUGUGUUUUUCACUCUGGUUUUGUGUGUGCCUACACAAAACUGUCUCUUGACAGUGGAUACCUACUAGGAAAGCAGUAGUUGUGACUGUGAAUUAACUCAAUUAAUUUAGCAUAUUAAAGUUAUUAUUCAGGACUUAGUACUGGUUUAGGCAACAAGGCCAAAAUAUAUGUGGAGAGUCUCAGAAAUGGAUUAUGGGGAGGGGAGAUGCACCUUGUAUUCCAAAGCCUGAGUCCUUAAGAUUUAAAAAACAAAUGAAAAAUCAAAGUCUUAUUUUUUAAAACAAGAAUUGAUGAGUUCAGAGUACAUGUUAGCCAAUAUAAUAGUAGAUGGAGUU